rnacentral:rRNA from 1 species
AUUGAACGCUGGCGGCAUGCUCUACACAUGCAAGUCGAACGGUAACAGGCCGCAAGGUGCUGACGAGUGGCGAACGGGUGAGUAAUGCAUCGGAACGUGCCCAGUCGUGGGGGAUAACUACUCGAAAGAGUAGCUAAUACCGCAUACGAUCUAUGGAUGAAAGCGGGGGACCGUAAGGCCUCGCGCGAUUGGAGCGGCCGCUGUCAGAUUAGGUAGUUGGUGGGGUAAAGGCUCACCAAGCCAACGAUCUGUAGCUGGUCUGAGAGGACGACCAGCCACACUGGGACUGAGACACGGCCCAGACUCCUACGGGAGGCAGCAGUGGGGAAUUUUGGACAAUGGGCGCAAGCCUGAUCCAGCAAUGCCGCGUGCAGGAAGAAGGCCUUCGGGUUGUAAACUGCUUUUGUACGGAACGAAACGGCUCUGGUUAAUACCCGGGGCUAAUGACGGUACCGUAAGAAUAAGCACCGGCUAACUACGUG